AACACCAAAUGACUAUGGGCUUAUAAGGUUAUGUUUUAGAAGAAAAGUCAUUUAUGGAUUUCGUCUGUUGUAUAAAGGUGACAUAGCAUUGGGACCUAUGUUGCUCGGACUCUUCAAAAUUGUUGCCUCACUUUUUUGAUGAGUCCAAUAAACAUAGAUUGGGACAAGGAGGAGCUGAUAUAUGACUCCGUAACCAAUUAGGUCACAUUCUCGUAUUCAUGGGAGACACUUUGCAGCUCAUUCUUCCAAAUAUAGGGAGGUCGGGGAAAAGAUUGAACAAUUGAUGAUGCAGCGUAGCGCGAGAGAGUGGAGGAAGCUGGAGUACGAGAUGAAGUUGAGUGCAAACUGAGGAGAGGUGACACUGCCUAUGUUUCCUCUGUUCGUAACAGAACGAUUUGAGUCUUGGCAUGAGAAAGAGAUUCGCGAAAGAACUCAGGUAUGAAAUCACUAUGCACAUUUGAGAUCUCUGUUACGAUUCAAGUGUGUUUCUAAGAUAUAGGGUGGGGUUGUUCUCGAAUCAACGACUAGAAGGGGGUGUUGAAGAAAUUCAAGUUAAUUUUUGAAAUAAUAACUAUUAAUUAAUUGAUCACCUUACAAAAUCAACCUUAUUAGAAGGUCUAAAAAUGAGAAAUGACAAUUGUAAUAACCUAAAAGAAUGUUGCUCUCAAAAUUGUAUACCUAUAUAUAACUAAUCCAUGUAUAUCGAAACCCUCUUCAUAUAUCAAAAUUUCUUCACAUUGAGCUCAUUUGUUGUUGGAGUUACAAAAAUAGUUGUCUUAUAUUGCUUCUUCGGAAAUGAAAUAAUAUUCUUCGAAAAACAAGAAGUUGAAUUUUUUCCCUUCAACUUGUGGAGUGCACAAUUACAAUUACGAUGAUAUGGUCUUUGUUCCAUAUUACCAAAUGUUGAUAAACUUGCAUCAAAUAAACACUCGAACACCAUCUUUUGGGCUGCCAUAUUAAUUGAUCUCUCUUUAAUUCGUUAACCCUAUUUAUUCGAGAGAGAGAGAUAGGAAUCGAAAAAAAAAUUAUUUUCGCAAAUAUGAAAUAAAGAAAAAAUAUGAAAUAAAUAGUUUCUCGAAGAGCGAAUUUGAUCUUGUCGUUUGAUGUAUUUGUUGUCUAAUUAUAAGUUGUGGCAUAUAUAU